rnacentral:rRNA from 1 species
AGUGAACGCUGGCGGUAGGCCUAACACAUGCAAGUCGAACGGCAGCACAGUAAGAGCUUGCUCUUACGGGUGGCGAGUGGCGGACGUGUGAGGAAUACAUCGGAAUCUACUUUUUCGUGGGGGAUAACGUAGGGAAACUUACGCUAAUACCGCAUACGACCUACGGGUGAAAGCAGGGGAUCUUCGGACCUUGCGCGAUUGAAUGAGCCGAUGUCGGAUUAGCUAGUUGGCGGGGUAAAGGCCCACCAAGGCGACGAUCCGUAGCUGGUCUGAGAGGAUGAUCAGCCACACUGGAGCUGAGACACGGUACAGACUCCUACGGGAGGCAGCAGUGGGGAAUAUUGGACAAUGGGCGCAAGCCUGAUCCAGCCAUACCGCGUGGAUGAAGAAGGCCUUCGGGUUGUAAAGCCCUUUUGUUGGGAAAGAAAAGCAGCAGGUUAAUACCCCGCUGUUCUGACGGUACCCAAAGAAUAAGCACCGGCUAACUUCGU